CCGGAGAGCCCAUAGCUCAGUGGUAGAGCCUCUGUUUUGCAUACAGAAGGUUCCAGGUUCAAUCCCCAGCAUCUCUGGG
rnacentral:tRNA from 1 species